UACGGGGGGGGCAAGCGUUGUUCGGAGUUACUGGGCGUAAAGAGUGCGUAGGCGGCCUGCUAAGUCGAACGUGAAAUCCCCGGGCUCAACCCGGGAACUGCGUUCGAUACUGGUUGGCUUGAAUCCGGGAGAGGGAUGCGGAAUUCCAGGUGUAGCGGUGAAAUGCGUAGAUAUCUGGAGGAACGCCGGUGGCGAAGGCGGCAUCCUGGACCGGCAUUGACGCUGGAGCGCGAAAGCCAGGGGAGCAAACGGG
rnacentral:rRNA from 1 species